CUCGUCUCUCUCCCUUCUUGGAAACCAAGCCAGCGAUCUUGGUGCUCCGGCCACAGCCAGUAGUGAGAGCGGUCGGAAAAGAACCAGUCAGGGCUGACGAUCAAAUCUGGGCUACUUUGUACCGCGCUUCUUCAAAUGAAGCCUGCGGAAGUGCUAAUUGAAUCCACUGGUGUGAUUGGCCAAAGGAUAAAAAAGGGCAGAUGAUGCAGCAGUGGCAAUCACAACAACUGACCUUGUUAGCAAGAGUGUGGCAAUUCAGUGUCAGGUUGGAGGGACAGAUAUAAGAAUUAGGGGAAUGGCAAAAGGUUCUAGGAUGAUCCACCCCAAUAUGGCUACCAUGCUUGGAGUAAUAACAACUGAUGCAAUGGUUAGCAGUGAUGUUUGGAGAAAAAAUGGUUCAAGUUGCUGUCAACCGAAGCUUCAACCAAAUAACAUUUUGGUAGCAACUUGUUGCCAAACCAGUUCGCCUGCAUCACUUGUUCUUUCAAUUUCAGUUGUAUUACAAGGUUGCUGGUUUACGAAGAUGGGGUUUUUGCUCUGGGUUCCUAGGUUUGUUCCAAAGGGUUGUGUUUUCCAUUAUGUUUUUCAAGGUUGAUGGUUUAUGAACA